GUAGUCUCGCACAGAUGCAUAUCAAUAAGCGGAGGAAAAGAAACUAACAAGGAUUCCCCUAGUAACGGCGAGUGAAGCGGGAAGUAGCUCAAAUUUGAAAUCUUAAAGGGUUUCCCUUUACGAAUUGUAGUUUAAAGAAGUGUUUUCUGUUGAAGUUUUGGUAAAAGUUCUUUGGAAUAGGACAUCAUAGAGGGUGAGAAUCCCGUAUUUGACCUUUACUUUCAACUUUGUGAUACACUUUCAAAGAGUCGGAUUGUUUGGGAAUGCAGUCCAAAAUGGGUGGUAAAUUUCAUCUAAAGCUAAAUAUUGGCGAGAGACCGAUAGCGAACAAGUACCGUGAGGGAAAGAUGAAGAGAACUUUGAAAAGAGAGUUAAACAGUACGUGAAAUUGUCAAAAGGGAAGCGUUUGACACCAGUGUUGUUUUUCUGAAAAUCAAUUAAAGAACUGUUUAUGCUAAGUUGUUUAGACUUUAUCAGCUAACUGUUUAGUUUUGAGCUUUUCUUUAAUGCACUUUUCAGUUAACAAGUCAACAUCAAUUUCUUUUGCUGUAAAAAAGCUUGAGGAAGGUGGCUUGAGAUUCGUCUUAAGUGUUUAUAGCCUCUUGCCUAUGCAGUCGGAGAGAUUGAGGUCUGCAGCGUAGAUCCUUCGGGGCUAAAUGCAUUUGUGCUAAGUUAUAACAUUUUAUAGACAACUUGUUGACUAUGAUUUGUCUUGUAGCUUACUCGCUUAUGUUAUUUUACCUACGCUUAGGAUGUUGAUCUGUAGUGCGUGCGC
rnacentral:rRNA from 1 species